rnacentral:rRNA from 1 species
CUGGCGGCGUGCCUAAUACAUGCAAGUCGAGCGCGGGAAGCGACCUGAAUCCCUUCGGGGAUGACGAUCGUGGAACGAGCGGCGGAUGGGUGAGUAACACAUGGGCAACCUGCCUGUAAGCUUAGGAUAACUCGUGGAAACAUGAGCUAAUACUAAAUGAUUCGAUCAUCACCUGAUGAAUCGAUAAAAGAUGGCGUAAGCGAUCACUUACAGAUGGGCCCGUGGCGCAUUAGCUAGUUGGUAAGAUAAAAGCUUACCAAGGCAACGAUGCGUAGCCGACCUGAGAGGGUGAUCGGCCACACUGGGACUGAGACACGGCCCAGACUCCUACGGGAGGCAGCAGUAGGGAAUCUUCCGCAAUGGACGCAAGUCUGACGGAGCGACGCCCGCGUGAGUGAUGAAGGUCUUCGGAUCGUAAAACUCUGUUGUUAGGGAAGAACAAGUAAUGUUCAAAUAGGGCAUUACCUUGACGGUACCUAACCAGAAAGCCCCGGCUAACUACGUGCCAGCCGCCGC